AAUACAUUCGCUUAUUUAUUCAUUCACAAAAGCUUUAUUUAUAUACUCAGUAAAGCUUUUGUGAAUGAGUAAACAAGUGAAUGUAUU